rnacentral:rRNA from 1 species
AGCAGCCGCGGUAAUUCCAGCUCCAAUAGCGUAUAUUAAAGUUGUUGCAGUUAAAAAGCUCGUAGUUGAAUUUCGGGGUUAGUAGGUCGGUCAUGCCACUGGUAUGUACUGGUCUCACUGAUUCCUCCUUCCUGAUGAACCGUAAUGCCAUUAAUUUGGUGUUGCGGGGAGACUGGACUGUUACUUUGAAAAAAUUGAGUGUUUAAAGCAGGCUAACGCUUGAAUACAUUAGCAUGGAAUAAUGAAAUAGGACGUUCGAUCCUAUUUUGUUGGUUUCUAGGAUUGACGUAAUGAUUAAUAGGGAUAGUUGGGGGCAGUUAGUAUUCAAUUGUCAGAGGUGAAAUUCUUGGAUUUAUUGAAGACUAACUACUGCGAAAAGCAUUUGCCAAGGAUGUUUUCAUUAAUCAAGAACGAAAGUUAGGGAUCGAAGACGAUCAGAUACCGUCGUAGUCUUAACCAUAAACUAUGACCGACUAGGGAUCGGAUGAUGUUAAUUUUUAUGUACUCUAUUCGGCGCCUU